AUCACAUUGAAAUACCGGUUCCUCUAUGAAUACCAAAGUUAAGCAACGUCGAGAAUGAUCAGUACCGAGUUAGGUGACCUCUUGGGAAUACCAGGUUGCU